CUUGAAUGAAAAAUUUUUUCUUUACACUUCCGUAGUUUUAGAUGGCACUAAGAUGAAUUUUGAAGGCUGGCGGGAUUGUGGUUUGCAGGGGGUUAACGAAUGACUUCGGGCCAUUUAAUAAUGGAGGUAAAACGGAAGUCAGAAGAAAAUUCCAGAGCUACUCCAGGAAACUGCAUUAGAAGUCAACUUCCUUUGCAGUCUCUGCUCCACGGCGGCGGUACCUCCGGCCCCGCAGGCCAGCGAAGACCCGCGUGGGCCUCCACCUGGAGCAAGGACUAGAGCCAGAAAUGGGAGAACCCAGAUGCCCAAGCACACCUUACAGAGAGACCAGGUUCAGUCCCAAGUGGUAUGAGGCUAUCCCCUGAGCCAUAAGAUGGUUGCAAACUCUGAUGCCCUGGAAUUCCAUUCCCCCGGACUGGAGAGCCUCCUGAUAAAAGAAACCACCUGGGGGCAGGAGUCCAACCUACAAGCCCACCAUCGUGGUCCUGAAAGACUCCUGUCAGUGCAUUAGGCCCCUCUGCCAGGAUAAGGCAACUGGGCCAGAGAGGCUCUUAGUCACCUCCAGAGACUGUGCCAUCAGUGGCUAAGGCCAGAGAUGCCCACGCAGGAGCAGAUGCUGAAGCUCCUGGAGCUGGAACACUCUGGCCCAUCCUAAGAGAUCCACAUGGGUUCAGUGUCACACCCAGAGGGUGACAAGAGGCAGCAACCCGGAUGGAGGAUUUGCAGUGACAGCCCAGGAACCAGGAUCCUGAGUGAGAAGGGCCAGAGACCCAGAGAGUGAACACAAGGCAUGUGUCUGAUUUCUGGUGUGAUCCUUGACCUCCGAUUCUCACAAUCCUGGAUCAGAGAGGACUCUUAUCAUCUCUUCCAGAAGAGAGCCUGUUUCCCAGGAAAUCAUCCUGCACAGUGUGGUAAAUGCCUCAGAAGUGGACACACAGAGGCAUGUGCUCUGGAGGUGUCUGUGUCACUGAGGUACCCUGAAGACACAUUGCGCUGGUGGACUUCUUCCGUGCAUUCAGGAGUUCAGAUGGACCGAUGUUUGUGGAGCCUUCCUGUGGGUCUGUAACAUGAGCCCCCUCCUUCCUGGACCUCUGCACCAGCCCAUCCCCUCUCCAAGGUAUUCACAGAAGCAACCAGGGCUCCAGGUGCACAAGCCUGAGUGGCUGGAAGUCCAGCUUCUUAGAACUUAAAGCAACUAGGAUGCCCCUCCAAAUAAAAUGUUGCACCGUAUGAUGAGUUCCCCUGUCCAUGAAAAUUUCUAACAAGAGCUCAGAUGACAGCUCAUCAGGGUGUGGAAAAAGAAACUAUGCAACAGGCAGUUUGGAGAAUCUUGGUUUUUCCUCCAGUAAGAUGCUGUGAUUUUUGAAAAGGUUUGUAAAGAGUAUGGGACAGUUGAUCACCUCCCACUUUUUCUGUUGGUCAGUUCUGCCAGAGGCAGCCGUGCCCACUGGUCCACACUGCCAUAGUGGCUGGACCAGACCUCAGAGCCACCCUGAGGGGUCUGGG
ensembl:lncRNA